rfam:Triticum aestivum genome assembly, contig: Triticum_aestivum_CS42_TGACv1_scaffold_591897_7BS
GUGGUACUCCCUCCGUCCGAAAAUACUUGUCAUCAAAAUAAAUAAAAGGAAAUGUAUCUAGACGUAUAUUAGUUCUAGAUACAUCCUUUUUUAUCCAUUUUGAUGACAAGUAUUUUCGGACGGAGGGAGUACAAU